rnacentral:rRNA from 1 species
GCCACAUUGGGACUGAGACACGGCCCAAACUCCUACGGGAGGCAGCAGUGGGGAAUCUUGCACAAUGGAGGAAACUCUGAUGCAGCGAUGCCGCGUGAGUGAAGAAGGCCUUUGGGUUGUAAAGCUCUUUCGUCGGGGAAGAAAAUGACUGUACCCGAAUAAGAAGGUCCGGCUAACUUCGUGCCAGCAGCCGCGGUAAUACGAAGGGACCUAGCGUAGUUCGGAAUUACUGGGCUUAAAGAGUUCGUAGGUGGUUGAAAAAGUUGGUGGUGAAAUCCCAGAGCUUAACUCUGGAACUGCCAUCAAAACUUUUCAGCUAGAGUAUGAUAGAGGAAAGCAGAAUUUCUAGUGUAGAGGUGAAAUUCGUAGAUAUUAGAAAGAAUACCAAUUGCGAAGGCAGCUUUCUGGAUCAUUACUGACACUGAGGAACGAAAGCAUGGGUAGCGAAGAGGAUUAGAUACCCUCGUAGUCCAUGCCGUAAACGAUGUGUGUUAGACGUUGGAAAUUUAUUUUCAGUGUCGCAGCGAAAGCGAUAAACACACCGCCUGGGGAGUACGACCGCAAGGUUAAAACUCAAAUGAAUUGACGGGGACCCGCACAAGUAGUGGAGCAUGUGGUUUAAUUCGAAGAUACGCGCAGAACCUUACCAACACUUGACAUGUUCGUCGCGACUUUAAGAGAUUAAAGUUUUCGGUUCGGCCGGACGAAACACAGGUGCUGCAUGGCUGUCGUCAGCUCGUGUCGUGAGAUGUUGGGUUAAGUCCCGCAACGAGCGCAACCCUCACUUUUAGUUGCCAUCAUUAAGUUGGGCACUCUGAAAGAACUGCCAGUGAUAAGCUGGAGGAAGGUGGGGGAUGACGUCAAGUCCUCAUGGCCCUUACGUGUUGGGCUACACACG